UGGUGGGUAGUUUGACUGGGGCGGUCUCCUCCUAAAGAGUAACGGAGGAGCACGAAGGUUGGCUAAUCCUGGUCGGACAUCAGGAGGUUAGUGCAAUGGCAUAAGCCAGCUUGACUGCGAGCGUGACGGCGCGAGCAGGUGCGAAAGCAGGUCAUAGUGAUCCGGUGGUUCUGAAUGGAAGGGCCAUCGCUCAACGGAUAAAAGGUACUCCGGGGAUAACAGGCUGAUACCGCCCAAGAGUUCAUAUCGACGGCGGUGUUUGGCACCUCGAUGUCGGCUCAUCACAUCCUGGGGCUGAAGUAGGUCCCAAGGGUAUGGCUGUUCGCCAUUUAAAGUGGUACGCGAGCUGGGUUUAGAACGUCGUGAGACAGUUCGGUCCCUAUCUGCCGUGGGCGCUGGAGAACUGAGGGGGGCUGCUCCUAGUACGAGAGGACCGGAGUGGACGCAUCACUGGUGUUCGGGUUGUCAUGCCAAUGGCACUGCCCGGUAGCUAAAUGCGGAAGAGAUAAGUGCUGAAAGCAUCUAAGCACGAAACUUGCCCCGAGAUGAGUUCUCCCUGAGACUUAGAGUCUCCUGAAGGAACGUUGAAGACGACGACGUUGAUAGGCCGGGUGUGUAAGCGCAGCGAUGCGUUGAGCUAACCGGUACUAAUGA
rnacentral:rRNA from 2 species